AGUUGAGGCACGUGUUCUCAUUCGUUCGAUAACAAUGCGAUGAAGUCGUCUACGUGGUGUACCUUAUUUCUUGUGAUGUUUGCUGCACUUUCAACGAAAUGCAUCGAAGCACAACGUUCCGUCCGGGUGAUGCCACGAUUUACCCACGUUGGCGGCGUUCGAAUGUUCCGAAGUCGCGGAGGUCUCCCGAUUGGAUCCAAACAGGGAAGGCAGUGGAUCAGAAUCAGCGGUGCAAAAGGCAAUAGUCCAGGAAUAAUGGAAAGCAAUCGGCGGCAUCCACCUAGCAACGAUAUCGGUCCAAAUUUUUGAUGGUAAUAAACGAUACCCUGAUGACGAGUAA